UCUUUUUUUAAACAGUUGAUCGAACUUGAACAGCUAUAAAAUAUUGCUUCUUUUUAAGUUGUUUGAUUUGUUUUUCUUUUUUAAAGUACCUAGUGUAAUAACGACCAUGGUCCCAUCCAAUUUUGUUAAGCAAUAUUAAAAUACUAAAAUAGUUGAUGUUGAUUCCAGGUCUUCUAUUAUGUAACUUUCCCAAUUUUGGACUUUUCAUCUCUCAUUCCAUUUACACAUUACAAUCUUCCCUCUAUUUUUCUCUCAAACAUGAGCUUUUGAUCGCCGACGACAAUCUCUUAAUCGACGCCUCCGCCGAUGCUUGUUGCUCUUUCCCCGGCGUCGUAACACCGGAUUAAGUAACGAAGGUUAUAUGGGUGAACUUGUUAUUAAGUCCACAAGUGAAGGCGUCAAGUGUUUAGAUCUGAUCCAUCAAGAAGAUGUUUUUUACCAAGUCAUGAAUCGAAAGAAAUUCAAUGAACAUGAGCAUCUUUGCUUGCAUCUCCAUCAUUUAUUCAAUAUCAUUUGACUUUGAUUAAAUAUUGCCAACCAAUCUUGACUUUUCCAAAAGAGGAACUCAAUGUGGAAAGCUGGAUUAUUAAGAGACUGGAAUGGAGCAGCUAUGAUUGUAGAAGCUGAAAAAUAAAGAAAAGAAGACUUCAAGGGGACAAAAUGAAAUUAAAUUAACAUUCCAUUCUUAUGGUUUGUGUAUCUAUAUAUUUGGGGCUCUCUGGCCAACAUUCCCCAUCUUUUCAGUCGUUAUUGUAUUUUUCCUUAUCUUUAUGUAUGAAAAGAUCCGUUGUAGUCUCUACAACGUUACUAUUAUCAGUUGUUAUUUAAUUUUAUGUAUUAAGGAUUAAAACUAUUUUCAAUAUAUUCAAUCAUUCGGUUAAA